rnacentral:lncRNA from 1 species
ACAAGUCAGUUAACAUAUGAAGAGAUGACUAUCAUGUAUAAGAUGGUUUACACUCAUCUUGACAUUUCACGUCUGUUAAUGUAUUGAUUAGAUUCCGGGUAUGUUCCAGGAAAGAACAAUUACCACCACUGAAAUGGAUGUGAUGUCUAUAGAAGAUUAUACCGUUUGAGGAUAAUUUAGGUCGUUUCUGAUUCCGUGCGCAUAUUGGUUUUUCUCUGGAGAUUUUUUUAUUUUGUUCCAUGUAAAAGUGCCUUAAAAACUGAAUUUCUUAGAAGAAGUUGUGGAGUCUUAUGGAAAUUAAACUGUAUUUCCUACUGAUUGUGUGAAUCAAUUUUGAAAAUUUCUGAACCAACAACAACAUGCUUGACUAUGACAGUAGUUUCGAUGAAC